AGGUUUAUCGUUUAUYCUUGAUAGUACCUACUUACUUGGAUAACCGUGGUAAUUCUAGAGCUAAUACAUGCUAAAAACCUCGACUUCGGAAGGGGUGUAUUUAUUAGAUAAAAAACCAAUGCCCUUCGGGGCUCCCUGGUGAUUCAUAAUAACUAAACGAAUCGCAUGGCCUUGCGCCGGCGAUGGUUCAUUCAAAUUUCUGCCCUAUCAACUUUCGAUGGUAGGAUAGUGGCCUACCAUGGUGGCAACGGGUAACGGGGAAUUAGGGUUCUAUUCCGGAGAGGGAGCCUGAGAAACGGCUACCACAUCCAAGGAAGGCAGCAGGCGCGCAAAUUACCCAAUCCCGACACGGGGAGGUAGUGACAAUAAAUACUGAUGUGGAGCUCUUUAGGGUUUCACAAUUGGAAUGAGAAAAAUCUAAACCACUUAAACGAGGAACAAUUGGAGGGCAAGUCUGGUGCCAGCAGCCGCGGUAAUUCCAGCUCCAAUAGCGUAUAUUAAAGUUGUUGCAGUUAAAAAGCUCGUAGUUGAACCUUGGGCCUGGUCGGCCGGUCCGCCUCACCGCGUGCACUGGUUCGACCGGGCCUUUCCUCCUGGGGAACCGCAUGCCCUUCACUGGGUGUGCCGGGGAAUCAGGACUUUUACUUUGAAAAAAUUAGAGUGUUCAAAGCAGGCAUUUGCUCGAAUACAUUAGCAUGGAAUAAUAGAAUAGGACGUUGUGGUUCUAUUUUGUUGGUUUCUAGGACCGCCGUAAUGAUUAAUAGGGGACG
rnacentral:rRNA from 1 species